rnacentral:piRNA from 1 species
AGUGACAAUUGAGUGGUGUUA